AUACAAAUUCAAAAUUAGACCUUGAAUUUUUCUAAAAAUCCAUUUUGCAUGUAAUUAUAUGAACAUUAGUAAAUUAAAAGAGCUUGUAAAGUUUCCUGUUCUGCAUUCAUAAGGUUCAAAUGAAUUUCAAUUAUUUUGAGCAACAGUUACAACUCCACUUCUUUUUAAAAAAAUGCUAAGAUAGUGUAAGCUUAAAAAAAGUCUUUAAACCAGGCCAUUAAGUGUUAAUAGUUAAGGGUUAACUUGGACAAGACAAUGAGCAAUUGAAAUAAAAUGAACAUGUAGUAGAAAAUUGACCCAAUGCGAAAAUAGCCUGUUUUGACUGAAAAGUGAUACAAGCUUAUCGAUGGGAACUGUCUUGAAGAGCAGUUACCUUGGGCCAAAGGGACAUGUUGUUUCAGCAUAAUGGAAUUUUGGAAAUGUACUGAAAGUACCAGGGAAUGAUGACACAACAUGAAAUCUUGGACUCAGAACAGUAUUCAUAUCGGGGACUUUCUCCUAUUUAUGGGACUUCAGCUUGGACUAGGAUUACAAAUGGUGCCAGGAACCCUGAGUUCUCCAGACCAACCGAGACAUCAACUUAGAUGUCUAAUCUGCUUGAAACUGGCAUCCUUCAUAUUCUGGUCAGGAUAUGUCGUACACAAUACCACAUGGAAAAAGCUUGCUGAUAUGAUUUGCUUAUGAUGUGAUGCCACAGAGAGACCAGUGGCAUUUACACGGAACCAGCUGCCGUGGUUACCACUGACGUUUGCUGGAGAUUGAAGCAAGUGCAAAGUAGUUUGUUCAUUCACCAGUAGGUCAUACAUAAGGAAAGUAAAAUACGAGAAAGAAUGGAGUAAAGAAAUGUCAUUCAGCAUAUUAAAGAGCUUGCGAUUAGAUAGAAUCUUCCGCAAUUUCAAAUGUUCUAAAGUGAUUUACAGUUGAUAAGAUGUCAUGACUGAUGUAACGUUAAGAAACAAGGCAGCAAAUAUGGAGUCUUAAUCACUCAGAACAAAACUAAUGCUGCAAUUUGUUUUCAAAACAUUUUGUUUGGUGUUUUGCUUUUUAUAUCUUUUCCUUAGUCCUAUUUAUAUGUUGCAGGCCUCUACAUUGAUUUAAAUGUAAUUUAUACUUCCUGUUUUCACUUUCUACAUUUAUAUCUGUGAGAAUUCUUCAAUCUGAUUGGUUGAGUGGCUUUUCUGCUGCCUGCCAGCUCAUAGCCUCAGUGAAUUCAACAAACAGCUGUUGGAGGAGUCGAGAUCAGGAAUCUUCACUGAUAGGUCAACUGAAAGUCUGAGUUUAACUAUGUGGCAGCAGAAUGAUGAUAAUCCAAGUCUUUCUAUUUUGGUUGCCUUUUAAAGGAUAUAUGUUGAGCGAUUACCUUAUGUUUGUCUUCAAAUAGUGUAGUUGCAAUGUU